GGACCACUCCUUCUGGAGUUAAGGCCACGGACAGCCGGGUCCACUGCCGA
rnacentral:sRNA from 12 species